rnacentral:rRNA from 1 species
CCUGAAGAAAAAGCAUCGGCUAACUCCGUGCCAGCAGCCGCGGUAAUACGGAGGAUGCAAGCGUUAUCCGGAAUCAUUGGGCGUAAAGGGUCCGCAGGUGGCGUAUAAAGUCUGCUGUUAAAGACCGGGGCUUAACUCCGGAAAGGCAGUGGAAACUGAUUAGCUAGAGUACGGUAGGGGUAGAGGGAAUUCCCAGUGUAGCGGUGAAAUGCGUAGAUAUUGGGAAGAACACCGGUGGCGAAAGCGCUCUACUAGGCCGAAACCGACACUGAGGGACGAAAGCUAGGGUAGCGAAAGGGAUUAGAUACCCCUGUAGUCUUAGCGGUAAACGAUGGAUACUAGGUGUAGCUUGUAUCGACCCGAGCUGUGCCGAAGCUAACGCGAUAAGUAUCCCGCCUGGGGAGUACGCACGCAAGUGUGAAACUCAAAGGAAUUGACGGGGGCCCGCACAAGCGGUGGAGUAUGUGGUUUAACUCGAUGCAACGCGAAGAACCUUACCAGGGCUUGACAUGUCGCGAAUCUAGCGGAAACGUUAGAGUGCCUUAGGGAAUGCGAACACAGGUGGUGCAUGGCUGUCGUCAGCUCGUGUCGUGAGAUGUUGGGUUAAGUCCCGCAACGAGCGCAACCCUCGUCCUUAGUUGCCAAUAUUAAGUUAGGCACUCUAGGGAGACUGCCGGGGACAACUCGGAGGAAGGUGGGGAUGACGUCAAGUUAGCAUGCCCCUUACGUCCUGGGCGACACACGUACUACAAUGGUUGGGACAAAGGGCAGCAAGCUCGCGAGAGUAAGCGAAUCUCAUCAAACCCAGCCACAGUUCAGAUUGCAGGCUGCAACUCGCCUGCAUGAAGUAGGAAUCGCUAGUAAUCGCAGGUCAGCAUACUGCGGUGAAUUCGUUCCCGGGCCUUGUACACACCGCCCGUCACACUAUGGAAGCUGGCUACGCCCGAAGUCGUUACCCUAACCCGGUUUUGGGAGGGGGAUGCCGAAGGUAGAGCUAGUGACUGGGGUGAAGUCGUAACAAGGUAGCCGUACCGGAAGGUGUGGCUGGAUCACCUCCUUU